rnacentral:rRNA from 1 species
GUGGGGAAUAUUGGACAAUGGGCGCAAGCCUGAUCCAGCCAUGCCGCGUGCAGGAAGACGCAUCUAUGGUGUGUAAACUGCUUUUGUACGGGAAGAAACACUCCCUCGUGAGGGAGCUUGACGGUACCGUAAGAAUAAGGAUCGGCUAACUCCGUGCCAGCAGCCGCGGUAAUACGGAGGAUCCAAGCGUUAUCCGGAAUCAUUGGGUUUAAAGGGUCCGUAGGCGGUUUAAUAAGUCAGUGGUGAAAGCCCAUCGCUCAACGAUGGAACGGCCAUUGAUACUGUUAGACUUGAAUUACAAGGAAGUAACUAGAAUAGGUAGUGUAGCGGUGAAAUGCUUAGAUAUUACAUGGAAUACCAAUUGCGAAGGCAGGUUACUACUUGUGGAUUGACGCUGAUGGACGAAAGCGUGGGGAGCGAACAGGAUUAGAAACCCGGGUAGUCC